rnacentral:lncRNA from 1 species
AUGAGCGUGGGGGGGAGUGCUCUGCACCUGCUCGUGGCCACGGGGCUCCAGGGCUUUCCUUGCUCCCCGUCUCUCUGUCCCUCUCCUCUCGGCCACCCACGUCACCUUCCCAAUAAAUUACUUGCCCCAAUCUUUGUCUCACGAGGUCAGAAAGCAACAGAAGCAGAAAUGCAACCCCUCUCUCUUGCCUGCCAUACCUGGCUUCCCCUAAAAAUCCACGGGGCCUCUUACAGGCAACAGCAAGGUCAUGGACUCAACCUCUCGGUCAGGGGCCACAGCCCUGACAAGUACUCCAUGGCGGCCCACAUCAGGAAGGCCCAGGACAGGUAAACAGACGCAGCCUCGGAGAUCGAGGCCCACCUGAGAGCUGGGGAUUAAAGCAUCUCCCAGAGAGUGGCACCCCAGGAAACAUCGCAAAGGUCGGUUCCUUUAGACGCCGGGGUUGGCCGGCCGUGAGGAAGUCAGUCAGUUGCUCGCCUGCGCUCAUCCCACUGGCCCAGGCAACACCCCAGGGGCCAUCAUCACAUUCAUGACCUCAGAGAAUCAUCUCGAACCCCUUGCAUGUGAAGAGAAGAGAAAUUCACUUGACAGACCCCCCUGAACCCCAUCUGCCGUGAGGCGAUGUCAUUUUCACCUGGCCCAACAGUGCCCACCAAGGUCACCCUACCCCAGCGGAACACCGUGCUGUUCUCCACUCCAGCCACUAGGUGUCACUGCUGCGCCCAGUGAACUGGAACGAUCGCCCGUUCAUGGGUGGGAGAAGGACCCCAUCGGGCCAACGGGAUCCCACAAACCACCUCUGCACUGUGUCCUAACCUCAUCCUUCUUCCCGAAAGAGACAGAUGGCCAAUCACGGAGUACCCACCAUGUUCCAGACACUUGCCACACGUCGUAUAAUUUAAUCCUCACAGCAACACCUCCCAGUAACACCUCGCUUUGCAGGUGAAGAAAAUGAGACCCAGAGAAAUUAAGCAACUUGCUCAAAUUUGAAAAGAAACAAACAAGGGGGAGGGCAGGGAGUGGAACCUGAGUCGGAUGUGAAAGUCCAUGACUUUUUCUCCACCCAACGUAGCCUCCCUUGAGACAACAGAAUCUGAGCUAUGGGCUCUAAUUGAAUCCAAUUGUUUUGCCGUGACCCUCAGAGGUGUUGGCCCCUGGGAGAAAACCACGUGCAGCUCUGAUCAAAGGCACAUUCCCAACAGGCAGGCUGAAAUAAAGAGCACCUCCCUCCCUGCAGACAUCAUGGUCUAGUGCCCUCUUGUGGCUGAACGUGGAACUGGAGUGCAUGUGAAUGGGAGGUCCUUAAGGGAGGGGACUCAGGGACCCCAGAGUCACCUCCUUCCCCCUAGAUUCCUAAGUCCUUUCUCCCAGGGCUGAUCCCUGAACCCUAUCUGCAACUGACAGGCUCAGUCAAUUACAGUAGCGGGGAAGGGGAUCACCUAGUGAACAACAGCUACCUAGGGCAAGAAUAGUAGUAAAACUACGUAAGACCAGGUCUGCAAGGGGCUGGGUGCUCCGGAAUUAGUCAGCAUAGAAAUUCCCCACGUCCAGAGUGCCUGGGACCCUCUGCCACGUACACCCUCAGUAUCCCAACUGAGUCUCUCAGUGGGAACCAUAACUAUCUCCCUGUUCUUUUGGCAAACAUGUGUGCCUUAGCUAUUUUUGAAGGUUUGGGGUUUUUUUUUUUUCCCUCCAAAUACACACCAUCUUGGUCCUUUCCUUGUCUCCCUCAGCUUUGGCCCAGGUGCAGGUGGCUCCCCCUCGUGUAACCUCCUCCAAUCCCAUGCCUUAAGGUCCCUGAUAUGCCACUGUCCAUCACCUCUGCAAGAGUCCCAUUGUACUGCCCACCAAUUUGGGUGCUGCGCACUCAUCACGUAACCCUGACAACUACUCUACAAAGAUGGAUACAGUUAGCCUGAUUUUUCAGAUAAGGAAUCUGAACCUCAAAGAAGUUAAGUAACUUGGGUAAGCUCACCCAGCGGU